rnacentral:rRNA from 1 species
GGCGUGCCUAAUACAUGCAAGUCGAGCGAGUCCCUUCGGGGGCUAGCGGCGGACGGGUGAGUAACACGUAGGCAACCUGCCUCUCAGACUGGGAUAACAUAGGGAAACUUAUGCUAAUACCGGAUAGGUUUCUUGGAUCGCAUGAUCUGAAAAGAAAAGAUGGCUUUUCGCUAUCACUGGGAGAUGGGCCUGCGGCGCAUUAGCUAGAGUGGUGGGGUAACGGCCUACCAAGGCGACGAUGCGUAGCCGACCUGAGAGGGUGACCGGCCACACUGGGACUGAGACACGGCCCAGACUCCUACGGGAGGCAGCAGUAGGGAAUUUUCCACAAUGGACGAAAGUCUGAUGGAGCAACGCCGCGUGAA